GAGCACGUAGGUGGGUUUGUAAGUCAGAUGUGAAAGCCUUCUGUUCAACGGAAGAAUUGCAUCUGAAACUGCGAGUCUUGAGUGUAGGAGGGGAGAAUGGAACUUCUGGCGGAGCGGUGAAAUGCGUAGAUAUCAGAAGGAACUCCGGCGGCGAAAGCGAUUCUCUGGCCUAUUACUGACACUCAGUGUGCGAAAGCUAGGGGAGCAAACGGGAUUAGAUACCCCGGUAGUCCUAGCCGUAAACGAUGGGCACUAAGUAGAGGGGUUUU
rnacentral:rRNA from 1 species